rnacentral:rRNA from 1 species
UACGGGGGGAGCAAGCGUUGUUCGGAUUUACUGGGCGUAAAGGGCGCGUAGGCGGCCACCGCAAGUCGGUUGUGAAAUCUCCGGGCUUAACCCGGAAAGGUCAACCGAUACUGCGGGGCUAGAGUGCAGAAGGGGCAACUGGAAUUCCCGGUGUAGCGGUGAAAUGCGCAGAUAUCGGGAAGAACACCCGUGGCGAAGGCGGCUCUCUGGGACGGUACUGACGCUGAGACGCGAAAGCGUGGGGAGCGAACAGG